rnacentral:rRNA from 1 species
AAGCGGUGGAGCAUGUGGUUUAAUUCGAAGCAACGCGAAGAACCUUACCAGGUCUUGACAUCCCUGACACCCGAGAGAUCGGCGUCCCCUUCGGGGGACGAGGGUGACAGGUGGUGCAUGGUUGUCGUCAGCUCGUGUCGUGAGAUGUUGGGUUAAGUCCCGCAACGAGCGCAACCCUCGACCUUAGUUGCCAGCAUUCAGUUGGGCACUCUAAGGUGACUGCCGGCUAAAAGUCGGAGGAAGUGGGGAUGACGUCAAAUCAUCAUGCCCCUUAUGACCUGGGCUACACACGUGCUACAAUGGCCGGUACAAAGGGCAGCGACACAGCGAUGUGAAGCGAAUCCCGAAAAGCCGGUCUCAGUCCGGAUUGGAGUCUGCAACUCGACUCCAUGAAGUUGGAAUCGCUAGUAAUCGCGGAUCAGCACGCCGCGGUGAAUACGUUCCCGGGCCUU